rnacentral:misc_RNA from 1 species
AAGUCGUAACAAGGUAACCGUAGGUGAACCUGCGGUUGGAUCAUUUACGAUCUGCACCCUGUCAAAGGGUCGAUCCACAACUGUGCACCUUAAUGACGUGUUUGGCGGCAGGACGCUUCGAAAUCAAGAGUUCGCUCUGAGACUAGGAUCGUCCGCGUCGGAUGCUGCGAGUCAUCAUGGCUCUGGCGUAUGCCGCCUGUGACAUAAACUUCUUACACUUUAGACUGAUCAUCUUAUCACGCAAGUGAUGAAAUCCAAAACAACUUUCGACAAUGGAUCUCUUGGCUCUC